CUAAAGAUCUUGAGUGUGUUUGUCCAUUUCUUUUUUCAAAUUUGAGCAGUUUUUGUCCAUUAAUUUUGUUUGUUUAUUUAUUUAUUUUGAGAUGGAUUCUCACUCUGUUGCCCAGACUAGAGUGCAGUGGUGUGAUCUCAGCUCAUUGCAACCUCUGCCACCCGGGCUAGAGUGAUUCUCUUGCCUCUGCCUCCCAAGUAGCUGGGACCAAAGGUGAGUGCCAUCAGGCUUGGCUAAAUUUUGUAUUUUUUUUUUUUAGUAGGGAAGGGAUUUCACUAUAUUGCCAGGUGGAUCUUGAACUCUUGAUCUCAAGUGAUUCACCUGCCUUGGCCUCCCGAACUGCUGGGAUUACAGACAAACAGGGAGCCAAAUCAUGAGUGAACUCCCAUUCACAAUUGCUUCAAAGAGAAUAAAAUACCUAGGAAUCCAACUUACAAGGGAUGUGAAGGACCUCUUCAAGGAGAACUACAAAACACUGCUCAAGGAAAUAAAAGAGGAUACAAACAAAUGGAAGAACAUUCCAUGCUCAUGGGUAGGAAGAAUCAAUAUCGUGAAAAUGGCCAUACUGCCCAAGAUUCAAUGCCAUCCCCAUCAAGCUACCAAUGACUUUCCUCACAGAAUUGGAAAAAUCUACUUUAAAUUUCAUGUAGAACCAAAAAAAAAGCCUGCAUCACCAAGUCAACCCUAAGCCAAAAGAACAAAGCUGGAGGCAUCCCGCUACCUGACUUCAAACUAUACUACAAGGCUACAGUAACCAAAACAGCAUGGUACUGGUACCAAAACAGAGAUAUAGAUCAAUGGAACAGAACAGAGCCAUCAGAAAUAAUG